UGACCUCAAAUCAGGUAGGACUACCCGCUGAACUUAAGCAUAUCA
rnacentral:rRNA from 47 species